GGGGUCUUAGCUUAGUUGGUAGAGCGCCUGCUUUGCACGCAGGAGGUCAGGAGUUCGACUCUCCUAGACUCCA
rnacentral:tRNA from 1 species